CCCCCAGCGGCUGCGCCUCCCUCGCGGGUGGGCCGCCCCGUUACGGCCGCCCCUUCCUCCCACCGCCCCCUCGCCAGGUGCCGAGGGGCUGGAGCAGCCUUGGGGAUGGGGCGACGUGGGGAGCGGGCGGGAGAGGCUUCGCGUUCAGGCCCUCAGCUGAGAGGGUCACGAGAACGACCUGGCCCCGCAGAACGUGCCCGCCUGCUGGUAGAGGGCGUCACUCGGCGACCCGCCAGAGAAGGCACAAUAAACAGAACUGAAGAUGUGCUCAGAGCCUCGCUGACUGCAGCUCGGAGUCAGGUGACUUGGCUGAAAUCCAUUUACUCUGCACUGUAAUCAAGGAUGCUGUGUUUUGUGCUCGAGCACGAGGGAAGAAGCUCUUCACGGAUUUGAAAACCAGAGUGUGCAUCCUGUACAUUGCUCCAUCUCAACUGCUGUGAUAAGAACAGCAAACACGAGCGUUCUAGAAAGGGAAACAAUGGGGUUGUGCUUUACACGCAGUUUUUGUCCCGAUGGCUCAGGAACAAACAACUUAAAAUGGUCUUUGAGAAAGCACCC
ensembl:lncRNA